CAGCAGAAUAGCAGAGUUAUGUCGUUUUCAUCAUACAUGUGCUCUCUGAAUUCAUCUUCUCCUUUCGGCUGUGAACUUUGAAACAAUUUUCAAAUCAAAAGUCUUCAAUCCCUUAUCCAUGCAACAUCUACUUCUCACACUGUCAAAGCUUAAGAAAUUCCAUUUUAAUCCCUUAUCUCUCUUCAAAUACUCCUCUAAUUUGGGAAUUUUUUCUCAUGUCUUUACAAGAUGAAAAACCCAAUGUUGAAUAAUACCCAUUUUAUUGAUUCAUUCUCUGUUGAUUUUGCAGGUUUGGUCAAGGCGCAUGCAGUUUGGAUUUCCCUCCAAAGGGAUAAGAUCAGAUGAAUAGGUAAAAGGUAACUUUGAAUUUCAAUUUCAGAUUCUCCCGCCUUAGGGUUUAAUCGAUUUAUUCAUUUUAUAAUUGAAAUAGGGUUAGAGGUUUUGUCUAUUUAAGCAGGUAUGUAGUUUAUUGUCUCCGCUGCACCAAACAAACUAUAUUAAGCAGGAGAUUUAGAAGAAAGGAACAUGAGUGGCGGCCAUGGAGUUGUUCUUAAGAAAGGAAUAUAUUUUAUUUUUAUUUUUCAUUUUCGAUUUCUAUUUUAUAUUUUUGCCUAAUUUGUUUUUGAAUUGCAAUUUUUAUUUCUGAUUUUUGCAUUUUCCUCUCAUUUUUUCCUUUCUUCUUUCCAGGUAACUCUAGAGGUUUUUGGUUGAUGCUGUGAAGAGAAAUGGUUUAAAGCACAACCCUAUGUUUAUACUCAUUUUGAGAUGCAAUUUUAUUUUAUUUUCUUAAGUAGCUUAGUAGUAUGGCGAUUAGUCAUUUUCCUAUUGACCGUUGGGUAGUGCUUUUGGUGUCAAGAGCAGUUUCAAUGAAAACUUGCUGGUUUACGUAAGUAAAAUUUGAGAUUGAAAGCAACAUCUACAAUUUAUGUGCAUUAUUUUAUUCAAACAUUAGUUGCACAAUGGAAAUUUUGAAUGGACUGUGUAGUAGCAAACUUCUCACAACCCUGCCUCUGUUCACUCACACUGAUGACUCUAGAUUUCUAUUUGUUAACCUUUCGAAUUUUGUAUUUUUCUUCUUCCAAACCCUAAUUUUAGUUUUUGUUUACCCAUUUAUUUUCCUUUCUCUUCAUCUCACUAUUUCAAAUUUCUGACCAUAUUCGAUUAAUGACACGUGAAGGAGCUUUUGACAUCAACAAAUUGAUAAUUUCACCGCUAAAUCCUAUUCAGAUGAAGCUAAACAAAAUUUUAUUUUAUGACUUUUAUCUUCCACUUAAAGAGACACUACAAUGGAUACAUUAAGAAGGAAAAGCAAGUACAACAGUGGAAAUAGGAUCAGCAUUGUCACUGCUAGGCUCUAUACCUAUUGAAGGGUAUCCUUCGCCACAAAUGUAGAGGCCAAUAUCUCGAGUCAAAUAGGACCACAAUGAACGACAAAGAUCUUCCUCAAGAGGAUUUGAAGUCGUUGGAUUCAAGCUAAGGAUCUCCAAUCAAGCGGUGUUUAAAUAUGAGACGCAUCAUUUCUAUAUAUCUCUAGAAUACAUAGGUUAUUAUUUGUAUCAGCAUAAGUUUGUUUGGUUGGUGAGAGUUAUAUACAUCUUGAUUAAUAUUGUUUCAUCCCAAUACAUAUUGUAUGUAGUAUAAAUAUCUUUAAUAAAAAAUAUGAAAGCUUUAAUUUGUUU